rnacentral:lncRNA from 1 species
UAUGGGGUUUCUAUGGGGUACCUGUGGGGUUAUUAUGGGAUGUCCGUGGGGUCAUUAUGGGGUCAUUAUGGGGUUAUUAUGGGGUUAUUAUGGGAUGUCCAUGGGGUUAUUAUGGGAUAUAUCUAUGGGGUUAUUAUGGGAUGUCUAUAGGAUUUCUAUGGGAUAUCUAUGGGAUUAUUAUGGGCUAUCCAUGGCGUUAUUAUGGGAUGUCCAUGGGGUUUCCAUGGGGUUAUUAUGGGAUGUCUAUGGGCUAUUAUGGGAUAUACCUAUGGGGUUAUUAUGGGAUGUCCAUGGGGUUUCUAUGGGGCUAUUACGGGAUGUCUGUGGGAUAUAUCCAUGGGGUUAUUAUGGGAUACCUAUGGGGUUAUUAUGGGAUACCUAUGGGACAUACCUAUGGGGUUAUUAUGGGAUGUCCAUGGGACAUACCUAUGGGGUUAUUAUGGGAUGUCCACGGGCUAUUAUGGGACAUAUCCAUGGGGUUAUUAUGGGAUGUCCACCGGUUAUUAUGGGACAUACCUAUGGGGUUAUUAUGGGAUGUCCACGGGCUAUUAUGGGCUAUCUAUGGGGUUAUUAUGGGAUGUCCAUGGGGUUUCUAUGGGGUUAUUAUGGGAUGUCCAUGGGAUAUAUCCGCGGGGUUAUUAUGGGAUGUCCAUGGGCAAUACCUAUGGGGUUACUAUGGGAUGUCCAUGGGCUAUUAUGGGAUAUCUAUGGGGUUAUUAUGGGAUAUAUCCGUGGGGUUAUUAUGGGAUGUCCAGGGGGUUAUUAUGGGAUAUCUAUGGGAUAUCUAUGGGAUUAUUAUGGGAUAUCUACGGGGUUAUUAUGGGAUAUCUAUAGGAUAUAUCCAUGGGGUUAUUAUGGGAUGUCCAUGGGAUGUCUAUGGGCUAUCUAUGCGGUUAUGAUGGGAUAUCUGUGGGACAUACCUAUGGGGUUAUUAUGGGAUGUCCAUGGGCUAUUAUGGGAUGGAUACACCUAUGGGGUUAUUAUGGGAUGUCCAUGGGGUCUCUAUGGGGUACCUGUGGGGUCAUUAUGGGAUGCCCAUGGGCUAUUAUGGGCUAUACCUAUGGGGUUAUUAUGGGAUGUCCAUGGGUUAUUAUGGGCUAUCUAUGGGGUUCCUAUGCGAUGUCCAUGGGCUAUCCAUGGGGUUAUUAUGGGAUGUCCAUGGGCUAUUAUGGGCUAUACCUAUGGGGUUACUAUGGGAUGCCCACGGGCUAUUAUGGGAUGCCGCAGCUGCGCGCCGCCCUGUCGCUGUCGGUGCUGA